rnacentral:antisense_RNA from 1 species
CUUUAUGGCAGCUGUCGUGGGGCACUUCGGUGCGCCGAGUUCCGAUAUCCUCGGUCUGUCAACCCGCGUACAGCUGCCACCCAU